rnacentral:tRNA from 1 species
GCAUUGGUGGUUCAGUGGUAGGCCUCUCACCUUCCGUGCAGGGGACCUGGGUUUGAUUCCUGGCCAAUGCA